AAGGGCAUUUAAGGUAGACUUUCUACUAUUGCUUAGAUUGUUAGUUGGUGUCAUCCUUAUAGAUCUCUGGAAAUUUCCCUAGUGCCAGAAUCAUUUCCUUCUUUAAGUCGAUUUUGUUGUGUAUUUCAUUUCAACAGUGAGGAAAGUAAUGGAUACAGAUAAGUAACUUGGUAGACUCAGACAAUGCAGUGGUUUUUUGUUUGUUUUUUGUUUUGUUUUGUUUUUGAAACAGGGUCUCUACAUAGCCUUGGCUGUUCUGGAACUCUCUAUGUAGGCCAGGCUGGCCAAACAGUAAAAUAUUAUUUAAUACUCAAAAGAAAUGAGUUAUCAAGUCAUGAGAAGACAUGGAAGAACCUUAGAUAAUGCAAAUACUGAUACAUCUGUUCUGGUUAACUUCCAACCUUAUGGAAAUGUUUGUAAACCCAAAACAUGGUAGAAACACAGUCUAUCAGACUGAAGACAUCAAUAUAUAUCAUACAUGUUCCAGCUGACCAGAGAGAAUAUCUCCAAAGGAGUAUCUCACUGAACUUGGAGGUUCCUGAUCCAGCUACAGUCAUUAGCCACCAACCCCAGAGCUCCUCUUAUGUCCUUCUACCCAGUGCUGGGAUUACAGGGAGAACAAAUCAUUCAAACCACAUGAAUGCCUUACAGCAAGGCGACAAGGUGGGCUUAGUGAGAUGGUAGUGACAUAGACUUUUUAAACACUCUAAAUCCUAUUGUUGACCCAGGAUAUGGAGGUGGUGGUGAGACGCUGUG